GAUGAACGCUGGCGGCGUGCCUAAUACAUGCAAGUAGAACGCUGAAGCUUGGUGCUUGCACCGAGCGGAUGAGUUGCGAACGGGUGAGUAACGCGUAGGUAACCUGCCUCUUAGCGGGGGAUAACUAUUGGAAACGAUAGCUAAUACCGCAUAAAAGUCGAUAUCGCAUGAUAUUGAUUUGAAAGGUGCAAAUGCAUCACUAAGAGAUGGACCUGCGUUGUAUUAGCUAGUUGGUGAGGUAACGGCUCACCAAGGCGACGAUACCUAGCCGACCUGAGAGGGUGGUCGGCCCGCCUGGGACUGUGACCCGGCACAGACUCCUACGGGAGGCAGCCGUAGGGAAUCUUCGGCAAUGGGGGCAACCCUUACCGAGCAACGCCGCGUGAGUGAAGAAGGUUUUCGGAUCGUAAAGCUCUGUUGUAAGAGAAGAGCGAGUGUGAGAGUGGAAAGUUCACACUGUGACGGUAACUAACCAGAAAGGGACGGCUAACUACGUG
rnacentral:rRNA from 1 species